CUACGGGUGGCAGCAGUGGGGAAUUUUGGACAAUGGGGGCAACCCUGAUCCAGCCAUUCCGCGUGAGUGAAGAAGGCCUUCGGGUUGUAAAGCUCUUUCAGCUGGAACGAAACGGUGCGCUCUAACAUAGCGCGCUAAUGACGGUACCAGCAGAAGAAGCACCGGCUAACUACGUGCCAGCAGCCGCGGUAAUACGUAGGGUGCGAGCGUUAAUCGGAAUUACUGGGCGUAAAGCGUGCGCAGGCGGAUUGUUAAGCAAGAUGUGAAAUCCCCGGGCUUAACCUGGGAAUGGCAUUUUGAACUGGCAGUCUAGAGUGCGUCAGAGGGGGGUGGAAUUCCACGUGUAGCAGUGAAAUGCGUAGAGAUGUGGAGGAACACCGAUGGCGAAGGCAGCCCCCUGGGAUGACACUGACGCUCAUGUACGAAAGCGUGGGUAGCAAACAGGAUUAGAUACCCGUGUAGUC
rnacentral:rRNA from 1 species